AACGAACGCUGGCGGCAGGCCUAACACAUGCAAGUCGAACGUGAAGCCACCUUCGGGUGGUGGAAAGUGGCAGACGGGUGAGUAACGCGUGGGAAUCUACCCAAUGGUACGGAAUAACUCAGGGAAACUUGAGCUAAUACCGUAUGUGCCCGAAAGGGGAAAGAUUUAUCGCCAUUGGAUGAGCCCGCGUCUGAUUAGCUAGUUGGUGGGGUAAUGGCCCACCAAGGCGACGAUCAGUAGCUGGUCUGAGAGGAUGAUCAGCCACACUGGGACUGAGACACGGACCAGACUCCUACUGGAGGCAGCAGUGGGGAAUAUUGGACAAUGGGCGCAAGCCUGAUCCAGCCAUGCCGCGUGAGUGAUGAAGGCCCUAGGGUUGUAAAGCUCUUUCGACGGGGACGAUAAUGACGGUACCCGUAGAAGAAGCCCCGGCUAACUUCGUGCCAGCCGCCGCCGUAAUAC
rnacentral:rRNA from 1 species